rnacentral:rRNA from 1 species
UACGUAGGAUGCGAGCGUUGUCCGGAUUCACUGGGUGUAAAGGGAGCGCAGGCGGGUCAGCAAGUCAUUGGUGAAAUUCUCGGGCUUAACCCGGGGACUGCCACUGAUACUACUGAUCUUGAGUAUGGAAGAGGUUGGUGGAAUUCAUGGUGUAGCGGUGAAAUGCGUAGAUAUCAUGAAGAACACCGAUGGCGAAGGCAGCCAACUGGUCCAUUACUGACGCUCAUGCACGAAAGCGUGGGGAGCAAACAGG